GAUGAAGAACGUAGCGAAAUGCGAUAAGUAAUGCGAAUUGCAGAAUCCGUGAGUCAUCGAAUCUUUGAACGCACAUUGCGCCCGGUAGUAUUCUGCCGGGCAUGCCUGUUCGAGCGUCAUUUCAACCAUCAAGCCCCAGCGCUUGUGUUGGGGGCCUGCGGCUGCCGCAGCCCCCUAAAAGCAGUGGCGGGCUCGCUAUCACACCGAGUGCAGUAGUUCAUCUUCUCUCCGGUCUUGUGAGGCGGGUUCCGGCCGUGAAACACCCCACUACAUUCAAGGUUGACCUCGGAUCAGGUAGGAAUACCCGCUGAACUUAAGCAUAUCAAUAAGCGGAGGA
rnacentral:misc_RNA from 1 species